AGAAUAAAUAAAUAUAUAUAUAAGAAAAAACCAUUGUAGAAUAUCUAAUCAUGACCUUUGUAAAUUCGUUGCACACAUUUUUAAAAAUUGUACUUAAUUCGUAACACUCUUAAAGACUUUGCGCAUCUAAUGUGAUUUAAUUUGUGAUACAACACAACUCUUGUAAUGGGUUUCUCAUUACAGUAUUCAGUAGAAAGAAAUUGUGUCUUGAAAAUCAGACUUUAUUUUUGCUCAUUUUACCUUAUCAACAAGUGAUAAGAACAUACCCGAUAAUGCAAACCCAGUCCCUCAACGGAAGUCGAAGUGUAAAUUACAGGCAACUCUCAAUUGGAUGACGGACUGAACGACGAAUUGACAAACUGAGGGAGUAAACUGUUAUGCGUCUUCUUUCGCCUUGCACUUUAUCCCAUCUUUGCACGUUAUAUUUAUAUUGGCCCAACUUGAGAUAUCGAAGUAUAUUGAACCAAUAUUGACAUCAGAAUGUUAUUUGCGAGAGUUGAAAUUUAAAAAUAAAGCCAUUUAUGGAUAUAGGGCAUGCUCAAGUCCCGAUAAGAUUUAGAUAAGCAAAGCGGCAAUUUAGUAAGAAAAGCGCUAAUCGGUUUAUAAUUUCAAAAUAUGGUAAAGUAGAUAAACUCACCGUAGAUUGUAAAUAAUUAACAAUUUGACAUUAUCACGUUGGUGGCAAGCAUUUUUUCUCUGUUCCGUUGUGUGUUUCCCCCAAAUUCACACUCCUAAUUAAAAAUGUGCAAUUUAUCAGUCAGAUGUUCAUUUAUUUGUUUUCUGCCAAUAACAUUGACCCGAUUGCACGUAGCUGGCCAUAAACACCACAAAUUAUAUACUUUUUUUUUCAAACCGUGAAAACAAAACGCUUGAAUAAAUUACCGAUUGAAAAAAAAAACACAAAGGAAAAAAUAUUAAAAUAAAACCCAAGCUUAAACCUGUCGAUUUGUGGGUUGAGUGAUCUGACUAACAAAGAGAGGUAAUCAUACAGAAGUGAGAGAGAGAGACACAGAGUAAAUUA